rnacentral:rRNA from 1 species
AAAACUUUCAACAACGGAUCUCUUGGCUCUGGCAUCGAUGAAGAACGCAGCGAAAUGCGAUAAGUAAUGUGAAUUGCAGAAUUCAGUGAAUCAUCGAAUCUUUGAACGCACAUUGCGCCCGCCAGUAUUCUGGCGGGCAUGCCUGUUCGAGCGUCAUUACAACCCUCAGGCCCCCGGGCCUGGCGUUGGGGAUCGGCGGAAGCCCCCUGCGGGCACAACGCCGUCCCCCAAAUACAGUGGCGGUCCCGCCGCAGCUUCCAUUGCGUAGUAGCUAACACCUCGCAACUGGAGAGCGGCGCGGCCACGCCGUAAAACACCCAACUUCUGAAUGUUGACCUCGAAUCAGGUAGGAAUACCCGCUGAACUUAAGCAUAUCAAUAAGCGGAGGAAAAGAAACCAACAGGGAUUGCCCCAGUAACGGCGAGUGAAGCGGCAACAGCUCAAAUUUGAAAUCUGGCUCUCGGGCCCGAGUUGUAAUUUGUAGAGGAUGCUUUUGGUGAGGUGCCUUCCGGGUUCCCUGGAACGGGACGCCAUAGAGGGUGAGAGCCCCGUCUGGUUGGACACCGAUCCUCUGUAAAGCUCCUUCGACGAGUCGAGUAGUUUGGGAAUGCUGCUCUAAAUGGGAGGUAUAUGUCUUCUAAAGCUAAAUACCGGCCAGAGACCGAUAGCGCACAAGUAGAGUGAUCGAAAGAUGAAAAGAACUUUGAAAAGAGAGUUAAAAAGUACGUGAAAUUGUUGAAAGGGAAGCGCUUGUGACCAGACUUGGGCUUGGUUGAUCAUCCGGGGUUCUCCCCGGUGCACUCUUCCGGCUCAGGCCAGCAUCAGUUCGCCCUGGGGGAUAAAGGCUUCGGGAAUGUGGCUCUCUCCGGGGAGUGUUAUAGCCCGCUGCGUAAUACCCUGUGGCGGACUGAGGUUCGCGCAUUCGCAAGGAUGCUGGCGUAAUGGUCAUCAGUGACCCGUCUUGAAACACGGACC